UGAACAUUGAGCCUUGAUGUGUAGGAUAGGUGGGAGGCUUUGAAGCGUGGACGCCAGUCUGCGUGGAGCCAACCUUGAAAUACCACCCUUUAAUGUUUGAUGUUCUAACGUGGGCCCCUUAUCGGGGUUGCGGACAGUGUCUGGUGGGUAGUUUGACUGGGGCGGUCUCCUCCCAAAGCGUAACGGAGGAGCACGAAGGUUAGCUAAUCCUGGUCGGACAUCAGGAGGUUAGU
rnacentral:rRNA from 1 species